UACGUAGGGGGCAAGCGUUGUCCGGAUUUAUUGGGCGUAAAGAGCGUGUAGGCGGCCAGGUAGGUCCGUUGUGAAAACUGGAGGCUUAACCUCCAGCUGUCGAUGGAAACCAUCUGGCUAGAGUCCGGAAGAGGAGAGUGGAAUUCCUGGUGUAGCGGUGAAAUGCGCAGAUAUCAGGAAGAACACCCGUGGCGAAAGCGGCUCUCUGGGACGGUACUGACGCUGAGACGCGAAAGCGUGGGGAGCGAACAGG
rnacentral:rRNA from 1 species